rnacentral:lncRNA from 1 species
GCAGACAUGGCUCAGAUCUGGCAUGGCUGUGGCUAUGGUGUAGGCUGGCAGCAGCUCUGAUUUGACCCCCCUGGGAACUUCUGUAUACCACAGGUGCAGCCCUAAAAAAGAAAAAAAAAACUUGAACUGUAUUUUAAUUUACUUUGCAGUUUUAUAUGAGUUUGCUAGUCUUUUUGAAAUGAUUUCUUUGAGAGUUAUUUGCGUCCUUUAGUUUCAAGACUCUUAUUUUCUUACUUAUCUGGUUUUUUUCCUAAAAGUUAAUUUUUCUUAAGGCCUAUUAAGAACAUUAAGUAAUUUUAUAAAUUUUAUUAUGCAUCUUCUAAAAUAGUAAUUUUAAAAGCAGAAUUUUCCCUUUGCUUUUUUUUUCCUAAAAAUAUUUCCAUAGGACCUGUGCUGAUUUUUUUCUCUUAAGUGAAGACAUCUAUCCACAUUCCAUGUUGCCUUUGGAUAAUCCAUUCCUUUCCUAUUUCCAUUUCCUCUCUCUUGGAUAGCUGUCAGAUGACCUUAUUAUGUUAUAGUUCCCAAGUUAGUUACUGUGUAUACUUUGUAUACUUCUCAGCCCCUUGCACAGGGUCAUCAGGGAUUUAUCUAGCUUGAUUCCACUGGACUGAAUCUGGAUUAUCUCCUCCCAUUGCUUGGUUUUAUGACACUCUGAGACAACCAAUGACCCAACACAUUAUCCCUAUAUUGUAGCAUCUCUAAAAUCAUCUAUGUACCUAUCUAUCUAACCUAUUUAUUUACAUACACAGCAGCCUGGAGCCUUCUCAGCCCCAAGAAGAGCAAUGGGACAGAAGAGGCACCCAGUUGGCUUGGCUCCAGUGCUCCUGAGCCCCAACCCCUACUCCUCCCCAGCCUCUAAAACUCUUUUUUUCUUUACUGUCUACCAAACUGAGUCUCAUAUAUGGCCUAGAGCUCACAGUAUAAAAAUGUUCGUUGUUAUUCAAUCCUACUUCUUACUCUAUCGGUUAACUGUAAUUUUACUCCUUGAAUGAAUAUGGACAGUAGAUAGGAGGGAGAAAGCAUUUCUCAGACCAUAGCCUAAUACAGUGUGUCCAUAGGAGUCAUUCAGAUUUACUGAAUUUAUUGAUAUAAGUAGCUAUAGUGAUUUGAUGUAAAUUAGAUCUAGAGUAUUGUUAUUUGCAUGGUAUACUUUUUGAGCAGCACCAAGUAUAGGACACUGUCCUUUAUAUGUUGGACUCAGUUUUAAAGUUAUAAUCAGUCAUGUAAUAGUAUUUGCUAGAUCACAUAUUUAUUUUAUAUUGUAAGCCAGAGGCCGAAUCUAUUUUGAAGCCAUAGCUUCAUUUUUCCCCUCUUCAUUGACCUAAAGACAUCCAAUAGCAUGUUUCAUUACUGAGUUCCUGUUUUCCUAUCCACUGAUGAAGGAUUUAUGUGAUGACAAAACUACACAAAGUUAUCACCACACUGCCCAGUGAGCUGUGGUGCUGGCCACUGACUAUGAGACAACUAAUUGCUAUAUGCAUGUGAGGAAAUACAGAGCUCUAAUUUCGGAGAUUGAUGGGAAAGAAAAAAAUAAAUUAUAACAUGGUUUGUAUUGAAAACCUAUGAUUAGAAGGUAAACAAUUAUAUUUUAGUGUCAUAAGACUUUGAAGGGAGUUCCUGUCGUGGCGCAGUGGUUAACAAAUCCGACUAGGAACCAUGAGGUUGCGGGUUCGGUCCCUGCCCUUGCUCAGUGGGUUAACGAUCUGGCGUUGCUGUGAGCUGUGGUGUAGGUUGCAGACACGGCUCAGAUCCCGCGUUGCUGUGGCCCUGGCGUAGGCCAGUGGCUACAGUUCCAAUUUGACCCCUAGCCUGGGAACCUCCAUAUGCCGCGGGAGGGGCCCAAAGAAAAUAGCAAAAAGACAAAAAAAAAAAAAAUAAGACUUUGAAGAUAAAAUAUAAGAUCCAUCCAUUAUGCAGUGUAUUUAAGUUAUUUAAAUUAAUAUUUUUAAAGUAAAAGCUGAAACAUUAGACAAGUAGAUUAUUGUUUUUUUCAUAAAUAUGUACAAUAUCAACAAAUUUGUGAUACUGGUAAUCAUUAUUUAAUAGAACUGGUCCUCUCAGUAUUUUUACUUUCCUAUUCCUGUAAGCCAUUCAAAUACUUGUUAAAAUUCUGUGUAAUUAUUGGUGAAUCUCCUUUAUUGUAUCUUGUUUUUAAAUCUAUUAUUAAAGUAAAAUCAUAAAAACAUUUUAUUGUGAUAUGAUAGUAUUUAAAUUUAUCAAAAAAAGUAUAAACUUAAUUAAAUGUUUAAAAUAAUGUCCAAGUUCUUUCACACUGGUAAAACGCUGCUCUGAAGAAUCUGUCCCUAGAUAUUCCACCAUGAGUAUACUUAAUAUUACAAAAAUUUAAUCGAUGCUUCUACUGUCAUCAUUGACUAAAGUGACCAAAUUUAGAAAGAUCAAAUUCUGAAUACAAAUUCUACAAAUAUUUAGUAGUCUAAAUAUUUAGAUAAUAUUUUAUAACAGUUGUAUUUUAUUUAUAACCAAUUUAUUUGAGCUAGUUUAGAAACAGCUAUUACUCGAUCUCAGUAACCCCUUUCCAAUUAAUACCAUAAAUUUUCCAAUUUUUAAAUAUACUAGUGAGUUUUAUGAACUCAAAAAGCCCUUACCAGGCCCCCAUUAUGUUCCAGACAGCAUGUAAAAUAGAAAAUUACUUCAUGACCAUGUUACUUUUGGUCAUUAGCAAGUUUUUAAUUUCCCAAUAUCAAAAUAUAGGAUUUUUUUUUUAGAAAAAGUCACUUUUGAAUAGGAAAUAAGAGUUUACUUUCCUUUGCUUCAUUUAUAUUUGAUCCCUAAUAAAUAAGAUGAUAUUAGAGAAUGGUACAUUGUAGAUGUUAAGAUUCUUGGCUGUAAGCAACAGUCAUUGUCUCUGGAAAACCUUAAAAAGGGGUAAAUAAUGGAAACGUCACAGGAUAGGAUGCUCACAGGCUUGAAGUGGAGUCUAAAAAGCUGGAUUUAGAGAAUUUAGAAAUUCAGCACUAAAGUCUCAAUAAUGGAAACUGAGUGGGACUCUGGGGUGAUGCAGUUAGAAUGAAUUAAUUCCACCUGUUUUUUCCAUCUUCACAGCAUGCACCCAUUUUAAGAUCCAAAGUUCAGAGGUGGGAUCAAGGUGGUGGAGGAGUAAGACAUGGCACUCACCCUCUCCCACAAACUCAUUAAAAAAAUUUACAUGUAGAACAUUUCACAUAGGACAUCUACUGAAUGCUGGAAUAGGACUUUAUACCUCCAAAAAGGGCAAGAAAUACUCCACAUAACUAGGUAGAACAAAAGAAAAAAAGAGAGAGAAAAGAGAAAAAAAAGGAAUCAAGAUAGGAUCAGUACUCCUGAGAGGGAGCUGUGGAGGAAAGGGAUUUACACCCUGGGAGGCCACCUAAUUGACUGGGAGAUCAGCCAGGGUGAAGGGGAAGCCUCAAAACCUCUGAGAAAAGGGCAGCAGAUGGUCAGAAGAGGGAAAAGCUGAGAGAGAGCUAUACAGACCAUCAGUGUGUGAUACUGACACAUUCAGGCCGGGACUGAUCACUGAGAGUCAGGCUUUGGAGAUUAGUCCCAGGAAGAAGACUAGGGUUGGAUGUUUGGAGAUAGCUUAAGGUGGCUAGAGAGCUGUAUGCCAUCAGCCAGGAAGUUGUGUGCCACAGCUGAGGGUACAUGUGUCUUUUUGGGUUACAGUUUUGUCCAGAAAUAUGCCCAAGAGUGGGAUUGCUGGGAUUACAUAUGAUAAUCUCCAUAUAGUUGUAGGAGGAGGCCUAGGCCUUCCAGAGAAGAAGGGUACCAUUGUUGGGGAGGGUGAGAGGCAGAGGGGUGAUACCACCAUAAGAACUUCUUUCUGUGUGCACAUGGGGUACUUGAUUGUCAGAGCCUCUCUUACAUGGACUAUAGGGGCAGGUACAAACCACCACAGGCAUCUCAGACUCUUGAGGUGGGCACAGCCUACCAUGACUAAAGGUUCCACAAUCAGGCACCACCUGCAGCUUGAGUCACCUCAGGGGUCCUCAUUGCCAUCACUGAGGGCCCUGAAACUGAUCACCAACUGUUGCCAUUGCCCCCUCUGGAGUACAAAUGCUCUGCUCUUGCCACUGACAUAGGCUCUGGGCAUUAUGCCCACCUCCCUGAGAAUCACUGCCCAUGCACAGGGCCCUGCAACCAGGACCAGUCUGUGUGCCCACCUUCCUGUGUGUCCUCAGCACUGUCAAGUGUCUGGCAACCAGGCACCAGCUAUAGGCAUUGCUUAUUUCCUCCACCUUCCUGGAAGCACAUGUAGGCUGUAAACCUGCACACCACCUAGCAAGGGGAUAACAGCCUGCACACAGUGAGGAAAGAGACAGUAAGCAUACAAACCAAAAGCAGCCCUCACAAGCUACCAGGGAGCUUCUACAUAUAAACUAGCCCUCCAAGACUAUAGUAGAUAAUUGUCUUCCCCAGACUCACAGAAUAAGAAAAAUAUAAACAAUAUGAAGAAGCACAGGAACCAUUCCCAGUUAAAGAAUGGGAGAAUUCCCCUGAAGGAGCAAACAAUGAAACAGACCUCUGCAGACUAACAGACACUGAGUUAAAAAAUGAGGUAAUUAAAAUACUAAAUGAAUUAAGAAUGGAUGUUAACAAUAACACAGAUAACUAGGGAGUUCUCAUUGUGGCUGAGUGGGUUAAAAAAAUAACAUGGUAUCUGUGAGGAGGUAGGUUCAAUCUAUGGCCUAACUCAGUGGGUUAAGGAUCCAGCAUUGCUGUAAGGCACAGUGUAGGCUGCAGAUGUGGCUUGGAUCUGGUGUGUGCAUAGGCCUGCAGCUUCAGCUCUGAUUUGACCCCUGGCCUGAGAACUUCCAUAUGCUGCAGAUAUGACUGUACAAGGGGAAAAAAAAGUAACUAACUAGAAACUACGGGUGGGGGGAGGUCCUGUUGCAGUGCAGUGGAAAUCAAUAAAUCAAUCUGACUAGGAACCAUUAGGUUGUGGGUUUGAUCCCUCACCUUACUCAGUGGGUUAAGGAUCCAGCAUUGCCAUGAGCUGUGGUGUGGGUCACAGACGUGGCUCAGAUCUGGCAUUGCUGGGGCUCUGGCAUAGGCCAGCAACUGCAGCUCACAUUAGACCCCUAGCCUGGGAACCUCCAUAUGCUAUGGGUAUGGCCCUAAAAAGACAAAAAAAAAAAAAAAAAAAGAAAAA